CGGGGUGCAGCAGGCGCGAAAACUUUACAAUGCUGGCAACAGCGAUAAGGGGACCUCGAGUGCCAGGUUACAAAUCUGGCUGUCGUGAUGCCUAAAAAGCAUUGCAUAGCAAGGGCCGGGCAAGACCGGUGCCAGCCGCCGCGGUAACACCGGCGGCUCGAGUGGUAACCGUUAUUAUUGGGUCUAAAGGGUCUGUAGCCGGCCGGAUAAGUCUCUUGGGAAAUCCAGCAGCUCAACUGUUGGGCUUUCAGGAGAUACUGUCUGGCUCGAGGCCGGGAGAGGUGAGAGGUACUUCAGGGGUAGGGGUGAAAUCCUGUAAUCCUUGAAGGACCACCAGUGGCGAAGACGUCUCACCAGAACGGACCUGACGGCAAGGGACGAAAGCUAGGGGCACGAACCGGAUUAGAUACCCGGGUAGUCCUAGCCGUAAACGAUACUCGCUAGGUGUCGGCCACGGUGCGACCGUUGUCGGUGCCGUAGGGAAGCCGUGAAGCGAGCCACCUGGGAAGUACGGCCGCAAGGCUGAAACUUAAAGGAAUUGGCGGGGGAGCACAAGGGCGAUUCG
rnacentral:rRNA from 1 species